UUACACACACAUCAUAAUAAUGAUGAAUAACAUGAAGGGUUACUUUCACUCAUCCAAGCAAUUAAAUCAACAACUCAAAUCAUGCGGUUAUCACAACAAGUACCAAAUCAUGUGAAAAUGAGAAUCAAGAGGUCUUUCAAGGGUUGUAAUGUGGCUUAGGUUACAAGAAAGGAUAUGAUUAAGAGAAUCCAACCAAAUUGCCUAUCCUAAGGAAGCAUUCCCAAAUAUUCAACUCUACACAAUUUCCCUUUCUUUGAUCCCUAUCUUUUUCUUUUUCUUUUUCUUUUCAAAUCCACACAACCAUGAGCAUUUUCAUUGCUUUCCUUUUUUUUUUCUUUUUUUUUCUUUGCUCUAUGGUUUCAAGGGUGAUUUCUUUUUCUUGUUUCUUUUCAUAUUUUUACCCUUUCAUACAAACUCACUUU
rnacentral:lncRNA from 1 species